rnacentral:rRNA from 1 species
GUAGUCUCGCACAGAUGCAUAUCAAUAAGCGGAGGAAAAGAAACUAACAAGGAUUCCCCUAGUAACGGCGAGUGAAGCGGGAAGAGCUCAAAUUUGAAAUCUUAAAGGGUUUCCCUUUACGAAUUGUAGUUUAAAGAAGUGUUUUCUGUUGAGGUUUUGGUAAAAGUUCUUUGGAAUAGGACAUCAUAGAGGGUGAGAAUCCCGUAUUUGACCUUUACUUUCAACUUUGUGAUACACUUUCAAAGAGUCGGAUUGUUUGGGAAUGCAGUCCAAAAUGGGUGGUAAAUUUCAUCUAAAGCUAAAUAUUGGCGAGAGACCGAUAGCGAACAAGUACCGUGAGGGAAAGAUGAAAAGAACUUUGAAAAGAGAGUUAAACAGUACGUGAAAUUGUCAAAAGGGAAGCGUUUGACACCAGUGUUGUUUUUCUGAAAAUCAAUUAAAGAACUGUUUAUGCUAAGCUGUUUAGACUUUAUCAGCUAUCUGUUUAGUUUUGAGCUUUUCUUUAAUGCACUUUUCAGUUAACAAGUCAACAUCAAUUUCUUUUGCUGUAAAAAAGCUUGAGGAAGGUGGCUUGAGAUUCGUCUUAAGUGUUUAUAGCCUCUUGCCUAUGCAGUCGGAGAGAUUGAGGUCUGCAGCGUAGAUCCUUCGGGGCUAAAUGGCAAUUUGUGCUAAGUUAUAGCAUUUUAUAGACAACUUGUUGACUAUGAUUUGUCUUGUAGCUUACUCGCUUAUGUUAUUUUACCUACGCUUAGGAUGUUGAUCUGUAGUGCGUGCGC